UACAACUUUCAGCAACGGAUCUCUUGGCUCUCGCAUCGAUGAAGAACGCAGCGAAAUGCGAUAAGUAAUGUGAAUUGCAGAAUUCAGUGAAUCAUCGAAUCUUUGAACGCACCUUGCGCUCCUUGGUAUUCCGAGGAGCAUGCCUGUUUGAGUCUCAUGG
rnacentral:rRNA from 1 species